rnacentral:lncRNA from 1 species
AAUUGGUCAGGCUUCUUGCAGUCUGCAUUCAAAUAUGGGUGGGGUCAAGCUACAAAAGAUAGACCAGCUGGAAAUCCUGGAAGCUGAGUCAGGGAACUGUGCCUAGAGACUGGGAACAGACAAACACAAAACAAGUCAGCCCAUCCAGCAGUCCCUGUGGCACAGCCAGGAUAGUGAAUUGGAAUAGGAUGCAAUCUCUGAUGCCAAAAAUGACACUUUUACCCUGCUGAAUGAGGCUGGUCUCAGUUUUCAUGAAGCUCUUCUGGAAUUUUUGGACAUAGACAACAGAGAUGGAGCAGCAGUGAGCUGUGGGUCUUGGAAAAAGGUUUUGUUUUUCAGAUGCUUCUAUCAAAGGCAAGAAUCUCUGAAUAAUGUGAAAUGGGGGAAUUUUAAGAAAUGGAAACAUAUUGGUUAUGAAGAAUGAAGCCCAGGGACAAGUGACUAUGUGGUCUUUGAGAAACAGUAGCAGCAGGAAAGAAGAAAAAGUCUGGCAGCUAAUUGGAUAAGAGGGCAAGACUAUAAUCAUCCUUAUUGUUGCUGCUUUGAAGUUGAAA